ACAACUAGCCAGUCCCAUGGGUAUGAAACCCAUUUGAGCGAGAGUAGUACAAGGAUGGGUGACCUCCUGGGAAGUCCUCGUGAAAGGGUUUC
rnacentral:rRNA from 1 species